UUGAACGCUGGCGGCGGCCUAACACAUGCAAGUCGAACGGAGUGGCGACCGGGUGAGUAACGAGUGAGCAACCUGCCUCUGACAGGGGGAUAGCCUCGGGAAACCGGGAUUAAUACCGCAUAGUCAUAGAUGGGCUCGCGUCUGAUUAGCUAGUUGGUGAGAUAACAGCCCACCAAGGCGACGAUCAGUAGCCGGUCGGAGAGGAUGAACGGCCACAUUGGAACGGAGAAACGGUCCGAACUCCUACGGGAGGCAGCAGUGGGGAAUAUUGCACAAUGGGGGAAACCCUGAUGGUGCGACGCCGCGUGAACGAAGAAUGUAUUCGUAUCGUAAAGUUCUGUCCUAUGGGAAGCAGUACCAUAGAAGAAAGCUCCGGCUAAAUACGUGCCAGCAGCCGCGGUAAUUC
rnacentral:rRNA from 1 species